rnacentral:rRNA from 1 species
CAAACAGGAUUAGAUACCCUGGUAGUCCACGCCCUAAACGAUGAUUACUCGAUGUGUGCGAUAUACUGUACGCGUCUAAGCGAAAGCAUUAAGUUAUCCACCUGGGGAGUACGACCGCAAGGUUGAAACUCAAAGGAAUUGACGGGGGCCCGCACAAGCGGAGGAGCAUGUGGUUUAAUUCGAUGAUACGCGAGGAACCUUACCAGGGCUUGAAAGUUAGGGAAUGAUUUUGAAAGAAGUCAGUCAGCAAUGACCCGAAACUAGGUGCUGCAUGGCUGUCGUCAGCUCGUGCCGUGAGGUGUUGGGUUAAGUCCCGCAACGAGCGCAACCCCUAUUCUUAGUUGCCAACAGGUAAUGCUGGGGACUCUAAGAAGACUGCCCGCGCAAGCGGUGAGGAAGGUGGGGAUGACGUCAAGUCAUCACGGCCCUUACGUCCUGGGCUACACACGUGCUACAAUGGCAGAUACAGAGGGCAGCUACUUGGCAACAAGAUGCUAAUCCACAAAGUCUGUCUCAGUUCGGAUUGAGGUCUGCAACUCGACCUCAUGAAGCUGGAUUCGCUAGUAAUCGCGCAUCAGCCAUGGCGCGGUGAAUACGUUCCCGGGCCUUGUACACACCGCCCGUCAAGCCAUGGAAGCUGGGGGUGCCUGAAGUCGGUGACCGCAAGGAGCUGCCUAGGGUAAAACUGGUAACUGGGGCUAAGUCGUAACAAGGUAGCCGUACCGGAAGGUGCGGCUG